rnacentral:tRNA from 1 species
AUUAUUGUAGUUUAAUAAAAAUCAGGGUUUGUGGUACCUUAGAUGCACAUCUUAGUGCCAAUAAUC